rnacentral:rRNA from 1 species
AUGUCAGGACAUGACGAUGUGCAAUUUGAUAAGGAAUUUUACAAUCUUGUAAAUCUGCAACACCAGAACAUCGUGCGGUUAGUUGGUUAUUGCCAUGAAACCCGACGAGAAUACUUGCCGUUCAACGAGACUAAUGUUCUUGCUGAUGUGACAAAGAGGGCGCUUUGCUUUGAGUUUAUGGAAAAUGGAAGCCUUAGCGACUGUCUUUUUGGUAAAUCUAUGAUGAUGCUUCACAUUUCUAAUAUUGUCAUUAUCUAUUUAGACGAAUUUAAUGGACAUGGUUGGUGCAAUCGCUACGCUAUAAUUAAGGGUAUUUGCAAUGGUUUAAAGUACCUUCACGAGGAACUGAAGCCUCCUGUUUUUCAUUUGAAUCUAAAACCAACCAACAUAUUGCUGGACAAGAACAUGGUCCCGAAAAUAGCAGAUUUCGGAUUUUCCAGAUUCUUCAACAAAGAAAACUCCCACAUCACCGAUAGUCCUGUAGGAAACUUUGGAUACUUAGCACCGGAGUAUAUACAUCAUGGCAUAAUCUCGGUUAAAAUGGAUAUAUUCAGCCUGGGUGUUGUAGUUAUGAAGAUAAUUUCAGGACCAAGAGGCUACGCGAGAAGUGCUGAAAUGACCGUGGAUCAGUUCACUGAGAUUGUGCACGUGAAUUGGAGGAAUAGGCUACAAGCGGCUGCGUCGGGGGAUUUGUUGGAGUCCUAUUCUUUACAAGUAAAGAGAUGCAUCGAAAUUGCUUUAAGCUGUGUGGAGGAUGAUCGACUGAAAAGGCCAACUAUAGGGGAUAUUGUUAACAUGCUAACUGAGACAGAGACACAAGAAAACUAUCAGGGGACAUUAAUUGAUCAGAUGAGCACUUGCGUAGUCAAAGACACUGAACUGAUACAUGUCCAUCCCCUCGAGCUCCACUUCUCUUUCCGACCAAACAAGCUUAUCUCCUGCCCAUUUCACAUAACCAACACCAUGGAUGAUCAGCAUGUGUCCGUUAGGUGCGUCCCAAAACACAAGGAGGCAAACCGUUACUAUGCCUAUCUAUGCGACAUCUUCCGUGUUGUGCCACCAAGGUCCACAUGCACCUUCGUUGUAAUGAUGGACAGAGCACAUCCGCCGCCGACCAACAUGGACGUGCUUGACCUAGUCGUAGAGACAUUUCUAGGGAAGGUGGAGGUGAGUAAGUGGCAUGCUGGUGUUGACAAAUCUUUUGAGGAUGCUAGAAAAGAGAACAGCCGUGGAUCUCGUGAGGUAACCCUAAGGGUCGUCUGUGCAACAACGUGCGAGACAACGACAUCUGAGGUCAUACUUCGUGAGGGUGGUCUCGAUCAAAUGAAAUCAAUGGAUGAGAACCCUACAGAGCCUUGGUGUGUCGGUGAUAACUGUGGGAUUGGCCACCAACCCCAAGAAAAUACACCACGAGCUGCCACGGCAACACCAUUGUCUCGAUCUGCCACCACUAGCACACUUGAGCAUUCAUUAGCGAAUUUGUUUCUCAUCAAAUCUGUUGUUGGGAUCGCUCCUGACAUCACUUAUAAUUUCUCCCCUCUUCAAGAAAUUGGAACGGGUGGAUUUGCGGUAGUUUAUAAGGGAAUGGUCGGAAAAAGGAGGGUCGCUGUGAAGAAGCUGACAAGAAGGCUUUAUUUGCCUGAGUUUAAAUUCCAUAGAGAGAUUGAGUGCAUGAUGAAGGCCAAACACAAGAAUAUAGUACGCUUUCUAGGAUAUUGUGCUGAGACUCAAGGAGAAGUUGCCGAUUAUGAAGGGAAGUUUGUCAUGUCAGAUCUACGAAACUGGUUGCUCUGUUUUGAGUAUCUACCCAACGGUAGUCUUGAAAAUUAUAUUACUGAUACAUCUAGUGGACUUGAAUGGACAGAGAGAUUUCGAAUAAUCAAAGGAAUAUGCGAAGGUUUACACUAUCUUCACAUGAACCGUAUUCUUCAUUUAGACCUCAAGCCAGCUAAUAUAUUGCUAGAUGGUCACAUGGUACCCAAAAUUGCUGAUUUUGAGCUCUCGAGGUGUCUGGAUGAAAAGAAGACGCAUGCUACUACUACUGUAAACACGUUUGGAACACCGGGAUAUAUGGCUCCAGAAAUAUUUCUUGGAAGAAAAAUCACGUUUGCGUCAGAUAUAUAUAGUCUUGGCAGUGUAAUCAUGGAGAUAUUAACGGGGGUGAAGGGAUAUCCUGAAGACGAGAAUGUGACUGAAAAUUGGAUCCAUCGAAUAGAGGGGGGCAACCAGUUACAACAAGUAAGCGUAUGCACUAAGAUAGGGUUAGAGUGCAUGAAAUUUGACCCAGAGAAAAGACCAGUUGCACAACAUAUAAUUGACAUGCUUGAUAAAGUGGACGAAACUGCCACUAGUAGCUCCGCGAACAGUCUCUUCCUUAGAGCCUGA